UACGUAGGGGGCAAGCGUUGUCCGGGAUCAUUGGGCGUAAAGAGCGCGUAGGCGGCCCUGUAAGUCCGCUGUGAAAGUCAAGGGCUCAACCCUUGGAUGCCGGUGGAUACUGCAGGGCUAGAGUCCGGAAGAGGCGAGUGGAAUUCCUGGUGUAGCGGUGAAAUGCGCAGAUAUCAGGAGGAACACCGGUGGCGAAGGCGGGUCUCGUGGGC
rnacentral:rRNA from 1 species